GUGUGUGUGUGUGUGUGUGUGUGUGUGUGUGUGAAGAUGGCAGAGAGACAGGAGAAUCAGAGUCUCCUCACUGAAGAUGAAGAUAAUCAGAACACAACAAACAUGAAUCCGUUGUGUGAUCCGAAUCAUCUGCUGCACCGGAUCGUCGUUCUCAUCUUCAUGUGUUUUCUGGGCUUCGGAAGUUAUUUCUGUUAUGAUAAUCCAGCUGCUCUUCAAACUCAAGUCAUACAGGAUAUGAAUCUGAACACAGCAUCGUUCAUGCAGCUGUACGCCUGGUACUCGUGGCCUAAUGUUGUUCUGUGUUUUCUGGGCGGCUUUCUGUUGGACCGGGUGUUUGGCAUCAGGUUGGGGACAAUAAUCUUUGCACUGUUUGUGUUGCUAGGACAGAUCAUAUUUGCUGCUGGCGCUCUAGCGAAUCAUUUCUGGCUGAUGGAAGUGGGGCGUUUUGUGUUCGGUAUCGGUGGCGAGUCGCUGGCCGUCGCUCAGAACACAUAUGCUGUUAACUGGUUUAAAGGAAAAGAACUGAACCUAGUGUUCGGUCUGCAGCUCAGCAUGGCCAGACUGGGCAGUACAGUGAACAUGAACAUCAUCGGGUGGGUGUACGGCCGCAUUCAGACUAUGACAGGCUCCGCUGGACACUCGACUCUGGGAAUAACACUCAUGAUCGCGGGGUGCACAUGUCUCUUCUCUCUCAUCUGCGCUCUGGUUCUGGGGUUUCUGGACAAACGGGCUGAGAGGAUACUCAACAAAGAGCAGGGCAAGACCGGUGAAGUGAUCAAGCUGACUGAUGUGAAGGAUUUUCCCAUCUCUCUGUGGCUCAUCUUCAUCAUCUGUGUGGGAUAUUACGUGGCUAUAUUUCCCUUUAUCGGACUGGGACAAGUUUUCUUCAUAGAGAAGUUCACUUUCACUCCUGUCCAGGCCAGAGCUAUUAACAGUGUUGUGUACAUUAUCUCAGCUCCUGCAUCGCCUCUGUUGGGGUUUCUGGUCGAUAAGACGGGCAGGAACAUCAUGUGGGUUCUACUGGCUGUCUUUACAACACUCAUCUCUCACAUGAUGCUGGCGUUUACUCUCUGGAACCCCUGGAUUGCCAUGUCUUUCUUAGGUCUGUCAUACUCUCUGUUGGCUUGUGCUCUCUGGCCGAUGGUGGCGUUUGUUGUAGCAGAACAUCAGUUGGGUACUGCAUAUGGAUUGACCAGAGCUGGGAGGGUUCGGACGAGUUGAUGCGCCGCCGGACCCGCUCCUCGGACCCCCCCGGAUGGAUUAGGUGAGUUGCUGGGGAGAACGGCACACGUCGCGGCCGACGGGAUAGAGGAUGGGCCGCCUUCCCCUCUCACCUGCCGUGGGCCUGGGAAAUUAGGCCGCCAAGGACGCCACCACCCCUCACGCCAUGGACCCUGGAGGGGAGCGUGUGUGGCCAACGAACCCAGCUCAUGCCUGGGCCAUACCAAAGACACUACCCCGCACUUCACUGAGCCCCGUCUCACCGCGAGGAUGCCAGAUUCCACCUUUGUUAUGAAAACUAUUCCCCCUGGACACUUUAUUUUCCCCUUUUGUGGACAUUUUACUUUUAUUAUUAUUUCCAAUAAAUGCCUUUCCGAGGCCUGACACCACACCCACUGUGUCUGCCACUUGCUCACCCCGCCACAACAGGCAGAAAGCAUAUCAAAGUCUUCUUAUUGGCUAAUCAAAGAAUGGGUCCAUAGCCUGCGUCCACCUUUUUGUUUGUUGUUUACAGAGCCUAGAGCUGUCACAGAGACCAGUGAGAUAUCUCACUAUAUUUAUUUGAUUAAUAUCUUGCAUUUUUUGCAUACAUUUUCAUUAAAAAAUCGCUUACAGCACCUUUAAGUGUUCCCUUUCAUUAUGGUCACUUUGGUGCUGGGUAAGUAGCUGACACUAUGGGAACACAGACCGCCUAGGCAAAGGCAGCCUGUGGCCCCUGUGGCACCCUUGAAGUCAAUUGUGGAGCUACCAGUCAGGCCGCAAUGUCAGUGGCCACGCAAGACAACUGACCACUUGCUUGUCUGUUCCUUGCCACCGAACAGUCUGCUUAGGUUCAGUCAAGGCUUCUCCUGUAAAGGAGGUGGUUGUUGGUGUGCCGUUCAUUCUCCUUGCCAUAGCACAUUAUUUAUCUGCACCACAAAGUGUCAUGAAUCCCUGUUCCACAGAGUGUCAGGUGUCCACUGUUUCCUCCUCCACUGUUCCAGUGCAGGACGCACUGGUUUUAGUGCAAGAAGUCCAGUCACUCCUCCACAAGGAAGCAAUAGAGAUUAUUUCUCAUCAGCGAGUGCUGUGCGACUUCUACAGCCUCUGUUUUCUGCUUUGGAAGAGAAUGGCAGCAAGUGUCCAAUCCUAGACCUGAGGAGUUUCAAUUGGACUAUGAGAAAAUUUCCCUUUAAAAUGGACACUCAAAAGCAUAUUCUGUCACAAAUAAGUCCCAGAGACUGGUUUGUGUCUGUGGACCUAAAGGAUGCAUAUUUCCAUGAUCAAAUAGCCCCUCAUCACAGGCAGUUCCUCAGGUUUGCCUUCGAGGGGGUUGCGUAUAAUUUCCAGGUGUUAACCUUUGGUCUGUCCUUAGAGCCUUGCAUGUUCACAAAGUGCAUAGAAGCAGUGCUCGCUUCUUUGAGGUUGAGCAGCAUUAGAGUCCUGAGUUAUCUAUAGAAUUGGCUGAUUUUGGCUCCCAGUUUAUGAGCUCUGGGUCACAAAUAUGGCUUCCCUCCUGUGAAGAUGCUGCAACAAGUGCUGUGCAAAGUAUGGAAGCAUCUGAGUUAGUUGCAUCUCUUUGGCCCAACUAGAUUUGGUUCCUGGACCUAAAUGUGAACUCCCCAUUGGGAGAUUCCGCUCAGAGUAGACUUGCUCUCAAGUUCGCGGGACAAUCUGGCAUCCGCAGCAAGAGAUGCUUGUCCCCUGAAGGCUCCUGUUAGAGGGCCAAGGGUAAUUGAUGCUGUGUUUGACACCAUUUUGCAUUCCAGAGCCCCCACAAUGAGUUGGGUCUAUGCUUUAUAGUGGUGACUGUUUGCCUCAUGGUGUGCCUCCAGUGGUAUUAACUCGGCCAUCUGCUCUGUGCACUCUGUCUUGUGCUUCCUUUGGGAGCAUUAAGAUGCUGAAGUUUCCCUCCCCAUGAACAAAGUGUGUGUGACAGCUAUACUGGGUCAUACUUCGGUGGCUGGUUUGUCUAUUGGCAAGCAUCCGUUGGAGACCAGAUUCAUGAAAGGGGCGAGUAGACUCGUUCCGUCUUGCCAGUCACACAUCCCUGUUUGGGAUGUGUCGGUACUGCUAGAGCUCCACCAUUUGAGUCUCUGGAGUCUGUUUGUUUACACACACUCUCUGUUAAGAUUGAGGUACCGUUGUCACUCACUUUGCUAAAGCAUAUUUGUGACUUGCCUGCCCUUUUUGUAAAUGGCCCAUAUCUGGAAUUUUCCCCCGGUUUUCCCAUAUCAUACUUCAACUGCGGGUCAGUUAUAUGCCCUAAGUGCCUUCCAACCUUUUUUUGGUCGCAGGUGUACCUUUGCAGGCCUUUUGCUCUCUACAUUUCAGUCUGCCUAGGAUUAGUGCCUGCACAGGUUGUGCCCGGUCAGAGCGCUGCAAAUAUAUAUUGAUUGUUCGCAAGAUUGGCAUAAAUUGAACCGGCUAUUUGUCUCUUUUGGUGAAUGCUCGAUUGGUUUGGCAAUUAACAUUCACUUGUGGUUCAUUACCAUACCUGGCAGCAAGUAGCAGUAUGGCACUGUGCGAGACAGUCCCCAUAGAGUCAGAUACUGACGGAGCUUCAACUGAACAUCUGGGUUAUUUACAUAACCUCAGUUUCCUGAAUAAGGGAGUCAGAUGCUGCAUCGCUGAGACACAUCACUGGGUGUCUAGCUGCCAGGAAUGUAUUCUUCUCCCUUUAGCUGAAAAUCUAUCAAAAUGGCGUUGAGCUCUAGUUAUAAAUACUGUGGCGAGCGCACUUGAGGGGGUGGAGCUUGAGUGACAUCUGCCAAUGAAUUGGCAUAAUUCUGUACUGGCUUCAGUAAUCAUUAUACCUCAUGGUGUUCCCAUGGAGUCAGCUACUGACACAGCAUCUCGCAAGCAAUAGACCUUUUUCACAGACUGUAAUUACGCGUUUCUGCAUUAUUUAGCAGCGUAAAUCUAGCAAACUUUUUUUAUAUGAUAAUUUAAAAUAUUGAGUGUAAGUUUAUAACAUUAGUAUUUGUGUUAUAUUUCCCUGGAAUUAGUUAAAAAAAAAAAAUUACCACAGAGAGGGGGUUCCGAUUACAGCUGCUGAGAGAGUGACAGUAAAUUUGGCAUCUUCUCCCAUUUUACUGUCUUAAUCCACCGCUCUCUAUUUUUUACCUUUUCUGGAAAGUUAUUCAGAUGUAAAAGUGGAUUUUUUAUUUGGUCUUUGGAAAUAAUAUUUGCUGUGAUCUCCCAUUCACUCCCAUUCAACGCUGUCGAAGUUUACCCUGCAAACGUUUACCUCCACGUUCCAAAACCCGGAGUGUGAAAAGGGUCUAUGAUGUUUUCCUUUGAAAAACUAUGUUCUUGAUAAAAGUAAAUACUGUGGUCCAACAGAGUGUGGUUACAGGUGAAUUACUGAUUAUGACUCUCUUGUGUUGUGUGUAGUAUGCAGUCCAUACAGAACUUGGGUCUGGCCCUCAUCUCCAUGGCAGCAGGAUCAAUCUUAGACAGCAAGGGUUACCUGUUCCUGGAGGUGUUCUUCAUUGCCUGCAUUUGCUUGGCUCUGAUAGCUGUUGUGUUACUGUAUCUGUAU